GAUGAACGCUGGCGGCGUGCCUAAUACAUGCAAGUCGAGCGAGCGGCGGACGGGUGAGUAAUGUCUGGGACACUGCCUGAUGGAGGGGGAUAACUACUGGAAACGGUAGCUAAUACCGCAUACCAUCAGAUGUGCCCAGAUGGGAUUAGCUAGUAGGUGGGGUCACGGCUCACCUAGGCGACGAUCCCUAGCUGGUCUGAGAGGAUGACCAGCCACACUGGAACUGAGACACGGUCCAGACUCCUACGGGAGGCAGCAGUGGGGAAUAUUGGACAAUGGGCGAAAGCCUGAUGCAGCCAUGCCGCGUGUGUGAAGAAGGCCUUCGGGUUGUAAAGUACUUUCAGCUGGGAGGCGUUACCAGCAGAAGAAGCACCGGCUAACUCCGUGCCAGCAGCCGCGGUAAUUC
rnacentral:rRNA from 1 species